rnacentral:rRNA from 1 species
UACGUAGGGUGCAAGCGUUGUCCGGAAUUAUUGGGCGUAAAGAGCUCGUAGGCGGUCUGUUGCGUCCGCUGUGAAAACUCGGGGCUUAACCCCGAGCCUGCAGUGGAUACGGGCAGACUAGAGGUAGGUAGGGGAGAAUGGAAUUCCCGGUGUAGCGGUGAAAUGCGCAGAUAUCGGGAGGAACACCGGUGGCGAAGGCGGUUCUCUGGGCCUUACCUGACGCUGAGAAGCGAAAGCGUGGG